rnacentral:lncRNA from 1 species
UUGGACGCGAAAAGAAAUCGAAGCAGAUCGAAAAACAGCAUUCUUGCGCUGUUGUACCGGUACAAGGUUGAUGCUGUACCGGUACAACCAUCGCGGAACAGUGCCUGAUGGCUGUACCGGUACAAGGGCCUUGUACCGGUACAAAACCCGCGCGACCGAGCAACCCGAGCCUCGGGUUUGCUCUCUGUUUCGCUGUUACGCAGGGCUUGUACCGGUACAAGACCCCGUGUACCGGUACAAGGGCGCGGCAGCAGCGGGUUAAGUUGCAAAAUCUGAUAAAAGGAGGGCUUUUUAGCAUAUUGUUACAAUAGAGGACUUAUUCCUCUCACACUCAGCUCUCUCCUCUCUCAC